rnacentral:rRNA from 1 species
GUGGGGAAUAUUGCGCAAUGGGGGAAACCCUGACGCAGCGACGCCGUGUGAGGGAAGAAGGCUUUCGGGUCGUAAACCUCUGUCAGAAAGGAAGAACCUCCCAUAUCCGAAUAGGGUGUGGGACUGACGGUACUUUCAAAGGAAGCACCGGCUAACUCCGUGCCAGCAGCCGCGGUAAUACGGAGGGUGCUAGCGUUAAUCGGAAUCACUGGGCGUAAAGCGCGCGUAGGCCGCUUCUUAAGUCGGACGUGAAAGCCCUCGGCUCAACCGGGGAACUGCGUUCGAUACUGGGAGGCUUGAGUCCUGGAGAGGGUGGCGGAAUUCCGGGUGUAGGAGUGAAAUCCGUAGAUAUCCGGAGGAACACCGGUGGCGAAGGCGGCCACCUGGACAGGUACUGACGCUGAGGCGCGAAAGCGUGGGGAGCAAACAGGAUUAGAAACCCGAGUAGUCC